AAAUUGAAGAGUUUGAUCAUGGCUCAGAUUGAACGCUGGCGGCAGGCCUAACACAUGCAAGUCGAACGGUAACAGGAAGCAGCUUGCUGCUUUGCUGACGAGUGGCGGACGGGUGAGUAAUGUCUGGGAAACUGCCUGAUGGAGGGGGAUAACUACUGGAAACGGUGGCUAAUACCGCAUAACGUCGCAAGACCAAAGAGGGGGACCUUCGGGCCUCUUGCCAUCAGAUGUGCCCAGAUGGGAUUAGCUUGUUGGUGAGGUAACGGCUCACCAAGGCGACGAUCCCUAGCUGGUCUGAGAGGAUGACCAGCCACACUGGAA
rnacentral:rRNA from 1 species